GGGUGUUUGUUACGUUAUCCUGUUUUGUGUUUCAAAGGAUUUUUCGUCCAGAAAUUUACGAUUGCUUUUUGUAUAUGGUGGUGUUUCGCCUUGUCAGCUAUGCCAGCUGCAAACCAGCAGCCUGCAUUCCUGCUAUUAAUGUACCACAAAGAGAUCCUGACACUUCAAGAAGGCCACUAUUGCUUACAUAAAGAUCACCAUCCAGUUCAAAGUCUUCAUCUACUUUGUGUUGCUAACCAUCAGCCCUCAACAUCCCAGGUAUCCAGAUUUCCAAGUUUCUCUGAUUAGCCAACCAUCAUCCACACCCUUCAACUCUUCAGUGUGGCUUCUCUUCCUCUCUUCCUAGUCUACGGAAUACCAACAUUGAAUAAGGUUCCUCGUCAUUGCCUUUCCAUGAAAAUCUUCAUUGUUAAUCCUGCUGUUCUGCUCACCAUUACUUAGCCAGCUCACAUGGAUGGGCUUAACUAAGAAAAACUUCUGUGAUAGGACUGCAAAUAUUCAUCUUCCUUCGGUACAACACUACCGUUUUGACAAUUUCUGUAGUUUCGCCCCCAGUAAACCACACGCAACUACAUUUUCUUCAUCUUCCUGUCGUUGUUGUCUACGACUUCACCUCAUCGCUGUCUUCGUUGACGUCUUCGCCUUCAUCUCCGUCUCGUCGUCUUGGCCGUC